UUCAUACUUCAAAAAUUAUUCCGGAAUUUAAUUAAAUAAUUUCGUCACGAUUAAUUAUCGGCACAAAAAUUUACUUAAAAGCCCCAAAACAAUUAAAUGGAGCCCAAACUAAAUAGAUCAACCAAUUAAUUUAUUAAGCCCAAAGCAAAAAUUAAAAGGAGCCCAUACUUAAAUAAAUCAUCCACUUUUAAUUAAAGAAGCCCAAAAUUAUUUCAUAAAGGGCUAGGCCCAACAUUCUAUUUCUCUAUUUCCUUUAGCCCAAAAAGUUAGUUAAAUUUCGAAAUGGGCCUAAUAUUUCCGAUGCAUCGCAGCCCCAAAAUAAUUAGAAAGAGAUUGGGCUCGGAUUUAUUUUGCAUAGCCUAAUGCUAAUUAUUUUAAUGGCCCAAAACCAUUUAAAAUCAAAGGCCCAAAAACAAAGCCCAAUUAAAGAAACCAUAGGUUAAAGACCUAAGUCUUCUUCUUCCUCAUUUCACAAAUACGCAGCACCCUCUCCUCUCUCACUUUCUCUCUUCAUCUUCUCACGUUCAAAUCAGCCGCCGCAGCGGAUCCGCCUCCGUCGCACAGAGCCGCAGCCGCUGCUGCUGGAUGCCGACGCCGCCGCUGCUCUCCGCACGCUGCUGUACCGUCGAGAAGCGCCGCUGCUCCGUCGCCCGCCGGGUUCGGUCAGCGCCGGUGCCCCGAAACCACCCCAAAACGUCCCACAUCUAGCCCGACAACCCCGCACAAUCCCGAAACAACUCCGAUUCAACCCGAAACAGCCCCGCAGGCGCUGGAGAAAUUGGCAGAUUUUGCGGAGGACGCGUGGAGUUGGGAGUUGGCAUAUUGAAAUGUCUAUUGGGCUGCCAAAAGAUAUAGAGAGAGCAUGGAGAUGGGCUCUCCCAAUAGUCAGUUUUAAAAGAAAGAUUGGGCUCAAAAUAUAGUUCAUAGGCCCAACAAUUAAAUGUAAAUUUUCUUAAAUUUUAUUUCAUUGGGGAUAUAGGGAUGCUCAUGAAUUUGUAAACUCAUGCCUUGGUGUAUUGUGGUCUUUCAAUUACUUCAAUGAAAUACUUUUUUUUUUGUUCA